rnacentral:rRNA from 1 species
GACGAACGCUGGCGGUGUGCUUAACACAUGCAAGUCGAACGGUAAGGCCCUUUCGGGGGUACACGAGUGGCGAACGGGUGAGUAACACGUGAGUAACCUGCCCUCAUCUCUGGGAUAACAGUCGGAAACGGUUGCUAAUACUGGAUAUGAGCUUGCAAGGCAUCUUGUGGGUUGGAAAGAUUUUUUUGGUUGGGGAUGGACUCGCGGCCUAUCAGCUUGUUGGUGAGGUAGUGGCCCACCAAGGCUUCGACGGGGAGCCGGCCUGAGAGGGCGACCGGCCAUAUUGGGACUGAGAUACGGCCCAAACGCCUACGGGAGGCAGCAGUGGGGAAUAUUGCACAAUGGACGGAAGUCGGAUGCAGCAACGCCGCGUGCGGGAUGACGGCCUUCGGGUUGUAAACCGCUUUCAAUUGUGACGAAGCUUUUUGUGACGGUAGCAGUAGAAGAAGCACCGGCUAACUACGUG